AGGAAUUAUUCUAUUAUUUUUAUUUGUAAUUUUUCCAGAAAAAUGAGAAAUAAAAUUCAAUAUUUUAUUCUAGUUUGAUAAUUUAUAAAACUUAUUUGUUUUAAUUAUAUUCCUGGUCUUUGGGGUUAUAGGAAAUAUCUAUCAAUCGUGCAAUUAUCUGUUACGAGAUUUAAUUGAAUUAUUAUUUGUUUAAGAUUAUGUCUGUGUGUGCAUUUAUUUCCACUUCUAAUAUUAUUAUAUUAAUUUAUUAAAUUUGUUACUCUUUUAAAUGGAUCUUUAUUUUUAUAAAAACAUAAAGAUAAUUUGAAAAAUUAUUUUAAUUGCUCGAUAGUGAACAUAAAUAUUUUAGGAGUUUUUAAAAUAUUAAAAAUCUAAUUUCUAUAAGAACAUGAUUUUUAAUUAGUUUCUGAACGCAACUAACUUCUAAAUUUUGUAUACAUUUUGAAAAUGCUCUAUAAAUCCCGAAACUUUUAUUUGAUUAGUUUUAUGAUAGUCCGGGAUUUAUAAAAUUAUUUUGAUGAUGUUUCCUAGAUUAUAAAAUAGCGAGAUAUUCCGAUAAUUUAGUUAAAAGCGGGUCCGAGUCAAUUGUUUAUUCAGAUUAUUAAAGGCACGUGGAAGUACAAGACUUAACCACGUACCCUUUUCAUCACCGCCCUGGUUUUGCCGACCUUCCUCGCUUUAUUACAAAACAAAUCUCACCCCUCUCAUUCCUUUAAAUCUCCCGUUCUCACUCUCUCUCGCGUAUUUCUCCUCCAUUCCUUUUACCCUUGUUCUUUCUUUUUCCACAAAAAGCAAUCUCUCCGCUAUUUGCUCUUUCUUCUUUCCUCAACCACGGCCGCCAAUCUCUGGCCGGAUUACCGCCGCCGAGCUUGAGUCGCCGCCUGUGUUUUGGCGAGUCACUCCAUCGCACCUGCUAUUCGAAUAUCAAUGGAAUUGAAGACAUUGACCGAGGCAUUAAUCGAGAAGUGAUUGAAAGGGGUAUUCAGAAAUAGCCAAGCAGAAUGUUACAAGUUGAAGUAGGACGGAGAUUUGUUAUAGAUAAAAGUGUGUCAGAAGCUGGCAGAAAGGAAUGAUUAUGCGGUAUAUAGUGUUACUAGGAAUCUGAGCUAAACUUUGGAGUUAAGGCAAGUACUUCUACCUUCUCUCGCAAUUUAGAAGCAAGUAUUUCUACCCUACUCCUCUAGUACCUAUAGAUACUAAAACCUUCUUUAUAUCAUGAUUCAAAUUAUUUGCAAUUACUUUCUUGUGAAGCAUAUCUAGUACUUUUAAACUUUUUGGUUGAACGGAUAACACUUUUGGUAUCAACUCUACACUAUGAUAUGCAUAAAGAAAUUGUUUUAACAAAAUGUUAUUCUGGCUCUUGAAUUACAUGAUGGAACUGCAGAUUGUUUUAAAAAUUAAACUAUUGGGUUGUUUUUGCGUAAGAGGCUCGGGCACCGGCCCAGCGUGAAAGGUGGCUCCUUAAGCCCGGAUUACCGGAAUUCGUAAUAUUUGUCAACCUUGCUGAAUAAGCUUGGUUUAUGGACUAUAGCAUGACUGAUCAUCUGUUAUAGCCAGGUGUCCAAUUAUUUUUAAAGCCCAAUAAAAUUGUGAAUAGUUUAAAAAGAAGUUACCCUGCCUUCAAGAGAUAUUUGCUUAUACAUUCAUUUCUGCAGUUUUAAAUAUUUUCACUUCUUUAUUAUGGCAUUGCUGUACAACAAAUAUCAAUUUCAUUUUGUUAUUCUUGCUGAGCAUUAUUGCUCAUUCUUGCUAUUCCUUCUAACCCUUUUCAGCUAGGAAUAAAGAUGAUUCACUUAAGACUAGGCAAGGAUUGCAAGUGGUUGAGUUUCAAGCAGAUGGACAGUGGCUCAAAACUACAGGUUUUAAAUUAUUUUUAUUUACACGUGGCACCAGAUCCAGACCCCCGGAUCUGAGGGUGUCACAGUUGGUAUCAGAGCCGCAGGUUAUAAGUUAUUGAAAUCAGAAUAUAGGUGGUAAUAUCAGGUUUAAUAAAAAGGUGCGUUAAGUGUAACCUCACAUAGAGGUAGUCUAGAGCUAUUUGGAAUAGCAUGUGUCAAUAGAACCAAGAUUCACAUAUAGUAUUGACCUUGAGUAUAUCAUAGUGUGUAUGAUAGGUUUUCUGUUUCAGAACUAGCAAGUUUAUAUCUCAAGGAAGAAAGAGCAGGCCUCCACCAGUUUCUAUUAUAUUGAGUAUUUAGUACCAAUACUAGCAACCAAAUAGAUUCACUUGUUGAGUCUAGACCGUCCCUAAUAAUUUCAUAGUACCUCGUCACCAAGAUAGAGAUAAAUUGGAAGAGUAACUUUAUGUGUUUUUAUUAUGGAUCAAAAUUUCUUAACACCAGUUUAAUUGAGUUAGAAACUCAUAGUAGGUGGAUAAGAUUUCUUUUGGUGGAUUUAGAUUCAAAACCAUUUGAAGGAUGAAAGAUACAUCUAUUAGGUGAACUUUAUAAUGGGAACCAAUAGGUGAACUUUAUAAUGGGAACCAAUUGAGGCUGGACUAGUAUAGAUUCUCACAUAGUCUAGAGUAAUCUUUGUAGUGUCUGCCAAUUUUUGAAUAAUAUUUGGGGAGUUAUCUUUGAUUCUUGUUAAAGAUAUAUAGAAUUGGUGAAAGAAUAUAGGUGUUAGCAGGUCUGAAUUUAAAGCUUUGUAUAUAGUGAAGUAGUGAGCAUUAGAGCUAAUACAAGAAUAUGAAACUUGUAGGGUCAAGUAAGAAGUUCCGUAUAUAGUUAAAUAAUGAACGUUAAAGUUAUUUAGAGCUCGUGUAAAUUAGUGGAUAUGGUACUUGUGAGUAAGUUAAGACGUCAACACUCAGUGGUGAUGAUUAUACGAAUCUCGAUAAUAUUUCGGACUAUGCGAAGCUGAGUAGGACUUCUGACGAUCAUGGAUAUUUAUAAUGAGAUCUUCACAGACCAUUGUGAGUCAACGAUAAUUUACGUUAUUGAGCAUCAUCGACCGCUGAAAAAUAGAAGAAGAUUAGAAUCGAAUAAUGAUCCAUCAGAGCAGCAUAUCUUGUAGAAUCUUGGCAAUACCUUUCUCUUUUAUUGAUUAUAUUGAUUACUUUCUUCAUCAAUGAAUUGUUUUGACAUCUUUUUCCUAGAGACAUUUAAUAAAUACUAUAUUUUUCUCUCCUGAGUUAUAAAAUGAUGCUUGUGUCUAUUUCAUCAUUUCUAACUAAUCUUUUCAUCAAAACUAGCACCUUUGGAACUUAUUCAAUUUUUUUAACCCAAGGUGCGCAUCAAAGAUUCAUUCAUCAAAAAGUCAAUCAUUUUUGGUUGAUUUUGAAUUUCUAUCAUAUUAUUCAACUCUAACUGAGAUGAACAACCCUACCUAUAGGGGACACAAGGACUACCGGUCUGUGUGAUAGGAGUUGGAUGGGACGCCAUCACUUGUGUGUGUUGUACAUUACAAGAAGGUUAACUACCUUUAGUAGUGUCUUAAUUUAGACACGCAACACCGAGUUCUUUAGAUCAUGUUGAUCUCUCAGUUACUCUUCAAUUUCAAUCACGUAACAUUUGCUUCGGUAGAUGUAAUCUUCAUAUUUCAAUCUCCAAAAUUCUUGUAAUUUUUAAUAGUUAAAGGUAUGCCAACUAAGUUGUUAAGAUAAAUUAAGCCUUUGUAGCACGAAGCAACAUAAGGAAACGAGGAUGAUGAUGCAGAUAUACGGAAAUAAUUAGGAGAAUUUUAUAUCAGAAGGGAGAAUCACGUAUUAAAGAGAUCAUACGCUCUAGUUUUCUUUUCGCUGAUUCCGAGGACAGAAUCCUUUUAAGGGGGGUAGAUUGUGACAACCUGGAUUUUCAGGAAUUAUUCUAUUAUUUUUAUUUGUAAUUUUUCCAGAAAAAUGAGAAAUAAAAUUCAAUAUUUUAUUCUAGUUUGAUAAUUUAUAAAACUUAUUUGUUUUAAUUAUAUUCCUGGUCUUUGGGGUUAUAGGAAAUAUCUAUCAAUCGUGCAAUUAUCUGUUACGAGAUUUAAUUGAAUUAUUAUUUGUUUAAGAUUAUGUCUGUGUGUGCAUUUAUUUCCACUUCUAAUAUUAUUAUAUUAAUUUAUUAAAUUUGUUACUCUUUUAAAUGGAUCUUUAUUUUUAUAAAAACAUAAAGAUAAUUUGAAAAAUUAUUUUAAUUGCUCGAUAGUGAACAUAAAUAUUUUAGGAGUUUUUAAAAUAUUAAAAAUCUAAUUUCUAUAAGAACAUGAUUUUUAAUUAGUUUCUGAACGCAACUAACUUCUAAAUUUUGUAUACAUUUUGAAAAUGCUCUAUAAAUCCCGAAACUUUUAUUUGAUUAGUUUUAUGAUAGUCCGGGAUUUAUAAAAUUAUUUUGAUGAUGUUUCCUAGAUUAUAAAAUAGCGAGAUAUUCCGAUAAUUUAGUUAAAAGCGGGUCCGAGUCAAUUGUUUAUUCAGAUUAUUAAAGGCACGUGGAAGUACAAGACUUAACCACGUACCCUUUUCAUCACCGCCCUGGUUUUGCCGACCUUCCUCGCUUUAUUACAAAACAAAUCUCACCCCUCUCAUUCCUUUAAAUCUCCCGUUCUCACUCUCUCUCGCGUAUUUCUCCUCCAUUCCUUUUACCCUUGUUCUUUCUUUUUCCACAAAAAGCAAUCUCUCCGCUAUUUGCUCUUUCUUCUUUCCUCAACCACGGCCGCCAAUCUCUGGCCGGAUUACCGCCGCCGAGCUUGAGUCGCCGCCUGUGUUUUGGCGAGUCACUCCAUCGCACCUGCUAUUCGAAUAUCAAUGGAAUUGAAGACAUUGACCGAGGCAUUAAUCGAGAAGUGAUUGAAAGGGGUAUUCAGAAAUAGCCAAGCAGAAUGUUACAAGUUGAAGUAGGACGGAGAUUUGUUAUAGAUAAAAGUGUGUCAGAAGCUGGCAGAAAGGAAUGAUUAUGCGGUAUAUAGUGUUACUAGGAAUCUGAGCUAAACUUUGGAGUUAAGGCAAGUACUUCUACCUUCUCUCGCAAUUUAGAAGCAAGUAUUUCUACCCUACUCCUCUAGUACCUAUAGAUACUAAAACCUUCUUUAUAUCAUGAUUCAAAUUAUUUGCAAUUACUUUCUUGUGAAGCAUAUCUAGUACUUUUAAACUUUUUGGUUGAACGGAUAACACUUUUGGUAUCAACUCUACACUAUGAUAUGCAUAAAGAAAUUGUUUUAACAAAAUGUUAUUCUGGCUCUUGAAUUACAUGAUGGAACUGCAGAUUGUUUUAAAAAUUAAACUAUUGGGUUGUUUUUGCGUAAGAGGCUCGGGCACCGGCCCAGCGUGAAAGGUGGCUCCUUAAGCCCGGAUUACCGGAAUUCGUAAUAUUUGUCAACCUUGCUGAAUAAGCUUGGUUUAUGGACUAUAGCAUGACUGAUCAUCUGUUAUAGCCAGGUGUCCAAUUAUUUUUAAAGCCCAAUAAAAUUGUGAAUAGUUUAAAAAGAAGUUACCCUGCCUUCAAGAGAUAUUUGCUUAUACAUUCAUUUCUGCAGUUUUAAAUAUUUUCACUUCUUUAUUAUGGCAUUGCUGUACAACAAAUAUCAAUUUCAUUUUGUUAUUCUUGCUGAGCAUUAUUGCUCAUUCUUGCUAUUCCUUCUAACCCUUUUCAGCUAGGAAUAAAGAUGAUUCACUUAAGACUAGGCAAGGAUUGCAAGUGGUUGAGUUUCAAGCAGAUGGACAGGUAGAGUAUUUAGGACGAUGUCAUUAAGACUAGAUGCAGUUGGAGUUCUGCAAUUCAAUUCAGUUGGAAAUUAGAUUUGUUUAUUUGGUUAUCAGCUACUCUUCUUAUCGAGGUUUAGCUGAUAAUGUUGUUUAAUUUGUAAAUAAGAUUUUAUAGUUUUAGUUUCUGAUUUCAAUGCUGUAGCCUGUGUGCGAUCCUGUUUUCAGGGGGUGAAAUUGAUUUUGAAUUAAAGACCUU